GGGCUAUCGAGAUGGAUCUGGGAGCCAAGCAGUAGUUCUUCUGUUAAAUUUUGCUUGUUGGCAUAGAUGCGUGGCACUGCGGCAACUAAUCAAGAGCGAGGGCAGUGCACAUCAGAGCUACGCUGAAUGUAGCGAGCCAACCACGAAUUGGGAUGAAAGUAGCG